UUUUCAUUGCGUAGUUUGGGUAGUUUGGUCCACGGAGCUCGCCGAGCAGUCCCUCGUCGGGACGGAUCGACAUCGAGUUUGCGGAACCGCACUGGUCCUGCAGGUCGUAGCCGAAGAAUCCGAGACGUGACCAGCCUUCCUUGUGCAUGAGCAUCGACAAGUACCAGCCGUUCAGGCCCGCGUUGGAGUUUGCGGUUGCGAGUGAACAGGAGAUACCUGAUGCUGCUGCAAGGACGGAGGCACGCUGGGAUCCGCCGAAGUGGCUCUCGAGGGUCGUGGGGUAGGUUUCGUACUGCUCCAUACCGUAGAGGUUGACCUCGGUUGCGAUGUCGCUGACGGCUUCCUGGGUCGGCUUUGCCUUACCAAUGCCACCGUGUUUCUUCUUGAUAUAGUCAAGACC
rnacentral:misc_RNA from 1 species